CGUGCUCUAACACAUGCAAGUCGAGCGGUAAGGCCUUUCGGGGUACACGAGCGGCGAACGGGUGAGUAACACGUGGGUGAUCUGCCCUGCACUCUGGGAUAAGCUUGGGAAACUGGGUCUAAUACCGGAUAUGACCACAUGCUGCAUGGGGUGUGGUGGAAAGAUUUAUCGGUGCAGGAUGGGCCCGCGGCCUAUCAGCUUGUUGGUGGGGUAAUGGCCUACCAAGGCGACGACGGGUAGCCGACCUGAGAGGGUGACCGGCCACACUGGGACUGAGACACGGCCCAGACUCCUACGGGAGGCAGCAGUGGGGAAUAUUGCACAAUGGGCGGAAGCCUGAUGCAGCGACGCCGCGUGAGGGAUGAAGGCCUUCGGGUUGUAAACCUCUUUCAGCAGGGACGAAGCGUGAGUGACGGUACCUGCAGAAGAAGCACCGGCUAACUACGUGCCAGCAGCCGCGGUAAUACGUAGGGUGCGAGCGUUGUCCGGAAUUACUGGGCGUAAAGAGUUCGUAGGCGGUUUGUCGCGUCGUUUGUGAAAACCCGGGGCUCAACUUCGGGCUUGCAGGCGAUACGGGCAGACUUGAGUGUUUCAGGGGAGACUGGAAUUCCUGGUGUAGCGGUGAAAUGCGCAGAUAUCAGGAGGAACACCGGUGGCGAAGGCGGGUCUCUGGGAAACAACUGACGCUGAGGAACGAAAGCGUGGGUAGCAAACAGGAUUAGAUACCCUGGUAGUCCACGCCGUAAACGGUGGGCGCUAGGUGUGGGUUCCUUCCACGGGAUCUGUGCCGUAGCUAACGCAUUAAGCGCCCCGCCUGGGGAGUU
rnacentral:rRNA from 1 species